AACGAACGCUGGCGGCAUGCCUAACACAUGCAAGUCGAACGAGACCUUCGGGUCUAGUGGCGCACGGGUGCGUAACGCGUGGGAACCUGCCCUUAGGUUCGGAAUAACUCCCCGAAAGGGGUGCUAAUACCGGAUAAUGUCUUCGGACCUAAGAUUUAUCGCCUUUGGAUGGGCCCGCGUUGGAUUAGCUAGUUGGUAGGGUAAAAGCCUACCAAGGCGACGAUCCAUAGCUGGUCUGAGAGGAUGAUCAGCCACACUGGGACUGAGACACGGCCCAGAAUGCUACGGGGGGGAGCAGUAGGGAAUAUUGGACGAUGGGCGAAAGCCUGAUCCAGCAAUGCCGCGUGAGUGAUGAAGGCCUUAGGGUUGUAAAGCUCUUUUACCCGGGAUGAUAAUGACAGUACCGGGAGAAUAAGCACCGGCUAACUCCGUG
rnacentral:rRNA from 1 species